ACUGUGGUGGAUUCAGGGAAUCUUCCACAAUGGACGAAAGUCUGAUGGAGCAACGCCGCGUGAGUGAAGAAGGGUUUCGGCUCGUAAAGCUCUGUUGGUAGUGAAGAAAGAUAGAGGUAGUAACUGGCCUUUAUUUGACGGUAAUUACUUAGAAAGUCACGGCUAACUACGUGCCAGCAGCCGCGGUAAUACGUAGGUGGCAAGCGUUGUCCGGAUUUAUUGGGCGUAAAGCGAGUGCAGGCGGUUCAAUAAGUCUGAUGUGAAAGCCUUCGGCUCAACCGGAGAAUUGCAUCAGAAACUGUUGAACUUGAGUGCAGAAGAGGAGAGUGGAACUCCAUGUGUAGCGGUGGAAUGCGUAGAUAUAUGGAAGAACACCAGUGGCGAAGGCGGCUCUCUGGUCUGCAACUGACGCUGAGGCUCGAAAGCAUGGGUAGCGAACAGGAUUAGAUACCCUGGUAGUCCAUGCCGUAAACGAUGAGUGCUAAGUGUUGGGAGGUUUCCGCCUCUCAGUGCUGCAGCUAACGCAUUAAGCACUCCGCCUGGGGAGUACGACCGCAAGGUUGAAACUCAAAGGAAUUGACGGGGGCCCGCACAAGCGGUGGAGCAUGUGGUUUAAUUCGAAGCAACGCGAAGAACCUUACCAGGUCUUGACAUCCAGUGCAAACCUAAGAGAUUAGGUGUUCCCUUCGGGGACGCUGAGACAGGUGGUGCAUGGCUGUCGUCAGCUCGUGUCGUGAGAUGUUGGGUUAAGUCCCGCACGAGCGCAACCCUUGUCAUUAGUUGCCAUCAUUAAGUUGGGCACUCUAAUGAGACUGCCGGUGACAAACCGGAAGGAAAGGGGUGGGGAUGAACGUCCA
rnacentral:rRNA from 1 species